AAAGACUUAAAGGAAAAGGUUCACUUAGCCCAGGUUCACACUUCAGAAUGUUUUCCAAACGAACGUCUGAGGCAUACGAAUGGAUCAGUAACAGCACAAAAACAGACAUUCAGAUCUGUGGAACAGAAGAGACAACCCAGAAACGGACCCACAAACCUCUGGCCAACUUAUCUUUGACAAAGAAUAUCCAAUGGAAUAAAGACAGCCUCUUCAGCAAGUGGCACUGGGAAAACUGAAGGGUGACACGCAGAAGAAUGAACCUGGACCACUUUCUUACACCAGACACAAAAAUAAAUUCAAAAUGGAGGAAAGACCUAAACGUAGGACAGGAAGCCAUCAAAAUCCUAGAGAAGAAAGCAGGCAAAAACCUCUUUGACCUUGGCCGCAGCAACUUCUUACUCCACACAUCUCUGGAAGCAAGGGAAACAAAAGCAAAAAUGAACUACUGGGACCUCAUCAAAAUAAAAAGCUUCUGCACAGCGAAGGAAACAAUCAGCAAAACUAAAAGGCCACCGACAGAAUGGGAGAAGAUAUUUGCAAAUGACGUAUCAGAUAAAGCGUUAGUAUCCAAAAUCUAUAAAGAACUUAUCAAAGUUAACACCCUGAAAAACAAAUAAUCCAGUGAAGAAAUGGGCAAAAGACAUGAACACACACUUUUCCAAAGAAGACAUCCAGAUGGCCGACACAUGAAAAAAUGCUCCACAUCACUCGUCAUCAAGGAAAUACAGAUCAAAACCACAAUGAGAUAUCACCUCACACCUGUCAGAAUGGCUAAAAUUAACAACUCAGGCAACAGGUGUUGGCAAGGAUGCAGAGAAAGGGCAACCCUUUUGCACUGCUGAUGGGAAUGCAAACUUGUGCAGCCACUCUGGAAAACAGUAUGGAGGUUCCUCAAAAAAUUAAAAAUAGUACUACCCUACGACCCAGCAAUUGCACCACUAGAAUAUUCCACCUUAAAUGCAGGGGAGGUAGACUGUUUACAAAGUCUCCUGUCCUCUAAAACUUCGUAUGAUGAGAUUCUGUCACUUCUGUCAUCAAAAGGUGGAGUCUACUUGUCCUUCCCUUGAAUCUAUGCCGGCCUGUGACUUGCUUUGGCCAAGAGAAUACGGGAAUAAUCGUUCUGCAAGAGGAAGUGCUUACAGCUCUUGGCACACUGCCGCGAGACUGCCAUGCAUAGGUCAUGUGGAUUGGAACCCAGGUGCCCCCAACUAAAGCCCAGCGGGGGCCUUGUUCCCAGCUGAUUCACCACCUGAGUGCAACCACAGUUCUAUUCCAGGAACACUCAAAUCUCUGGCUGACUCCACCUGCCUUUUACAUUCCAGACUCACGUCUUGAAAUGACAGUAGGAUGCCUCCAGCUUCCAGCCUCUCCUGGGUCGUAAUUUCAGCACAUCCCAAACUGAAAUCAAAGUGCCCUCAAAGCUGAACUCACUGUUUCCCCCCAUAUUUCCAUUGGCAUCACCACCAUCCUCCAUGCAUUCAGGCUUAAAACCAGCCCCUGUACAAUAUUAUUCUGAGUCCAGUCAAUUCUUCCUCCAAAACGCCUCUAACAGCGAUUACUUCCCUUUUAUUCCCCUAUUACCAUUUACAUGGCAAUAAAAUUUGCAAUACAGUAAUUUUCUGUGUGGUAUCCCUGCCCCACAGUCCACUCUAUUAUGGGUUAAUAUUUCCUAAAGUACAGUUGGGACCUUGUUCAACGCAUCUCCCCCACCAAAGAGUUUCAACUGCUCCUUCUGAACUAAAUUCACACUCCCCAGGACCUGCCCUUCCCUGGGCUUUUACUGGUUUGUCUGUCACUGGAUAGA